UGAACGCUGGCGGUAGGCCUAACACAUGCACGUCGAACGGCAGCACAGUAAGAGCUUGCUCUUACGGGUAGCGAGUGGCGGACGGGUGAGGAAUACAUCGGAAUCUACUUUUUCGUGGGGGAUAACGUAGGGAAACUUACGCUAAUACCGCAUACGACCUACGGGUGAAAGCAGGGGAUCUUCGGACCUUGCGCGAUUGAAUGAGCCGAUGUCGGAUUAGCUAGUUGGCGGGGUAAAGGCCCACCAAGGCGACGAUCCGUAGCUGGUCUGAGAGGAUGAUCAGCCACACUGGAACUGAGACACGGUCCAGACUCCUACGGGAGGCAGCAGUGGGGAAUAUUGGACAAUGGGCGCAAGCCUGAUCCAGCCAUACCGCGUGGGUGAAGAAGGCCUUCGGGUUGUAAAGCCCUUUUGUUGGGAAAGAAAAGCAGCAGGUUAAUACCCCGCUGUUCUGACGGUACCCAAAGAAUAAGCACCGGCUAACUUCGUG
rnacentral:rRNA from 1 species